rnacentral:rRNA from 1 species
GAUGAACGCUGGCGGCGUGCCUAAUACAUGCAAGUCGAGCGAACGGACGAGAAGCUCGCUCCUCUGAUGUUAGCGGCGGACGGGUGAGUAAGACGUGGAUAACCUACCUAUAAGACUGGGAUAACUUCGGGAAACCGGAGCUAAUACCGGAUGAUAUUUUGAACCGCAUGGUUCAAAAGUGAAAGACGGUCUUGCUGUCACUUAUAGAUGGAUCCGUGUUGGAUUAGCUAGUUGGUAAGGUAACGGCUUACCAAGGCAACGAUGCAUAGCCGACCUGAGAGGGUGAUCGGCCACACUGGAACUGAGACACGGUCCAGACUCCUACGGGAGGCAGCAGUAGGGAAUCUUCCGCAAUGGGCGAAAGCCUGAUGGAGCAACGCCGCGUGAGUGAUGAAGGUCUUCGGAUCGUAAAACUCUGUUAUUAGGGAAGAACAUAUGUGUAAGUAACUGUGCACAUCUUGACGGUACCUAAUCAGAAAGCCACGGCUAACUACGUG